rnacentral:tRNA from 1 species
ACCUGGCUCGCUCAAUCGGUAGAGCAUGAUACUCUUAAUCUCAGGGUUGCGGUUUUGACCCCCACGUUGGGUA